UGAUCAAGGGUCCUGAUUUUCGGCUCAAUGAAUAGAAACCACUCACUCAUCGCCUAUCCAUUCGUCACCUAUUCCAACCCGCUAGCAUUCAUGAGCGAAUGAGACUCGCAUCCAUCCAGCGAGUGGCCCGAACUUGUCACUCAGCGAACAAAUACAUCGUGAAAACUUUUGCCUACUCCGUCGCUUGACUACACUCACACACUACCAUGCUCAGCGAAGAGCCAUUCUCACAAAAUGCUAACGCGGCAGUCUUUUUGUCUUCACGCCCUCAGUUUGCCAUCAAUUUGAUUUUUUCUUUGUGGAAGUUUCUUUAAAUGGUUUCUAUAAUGUUAUGAAAUCAAAAUAAAUGCACAAUUUAAUUGAUAACAUUGAAUUUAGGCAACCUAAAUAAAUGAGUAUAACUCAGCGCAUCAGAGAAAAAAUGUGCUCAGUUCAGAUUGAUCGGUGACGUUCGGCCUGCCUGAGCCGUUCGGAGACUGAGCCGAUCAGAGAGAGAAGGAGAGUAGAAAAGAGAGUGUUCGGGAGCGAAUGGAUUGAAAGUGACAAAAGGUAGGAAUUCAUCAGGGCAGUAUCGCAUCGCCUGCUAUUUGUGCUCGCGAAUGGAGUGGUUGAUUUUGAGCAAUCAGGACCUUGCUUGUGAUCUUCGGCUGUUCGAUUCCAACCGGCGGUUUCCAUCCGAGCUUCCGCUAGGUCAUGCUCGACCAGCACCAGAUCGACAUCGAUCGGCCGGAAGAACCGCGCUGGGGCAAGCAAGACAAAUUAGCACGAAGGUGUUAGAUAGUGUCGCCACGGACAGCUAUCCGGAUUAACAAGACGCCAGGAAGGCUCGGCAUGACGGCUUACUCGGGCUUUAAAUAAGAACAGAUUGUUGGACAUGUGACGAGUCUUUCCAAUGUAGACUUUUAAACCUUCGUUCCGGCUUCAAUUCCUCCUGGUCACGGAUCGAGGUUCGGCCAGGAAUGGGAACAGUUCGAAGCACUGGAACUGCCGGACGAAGUUCUCUAGGUUAUCAGAACGUACGCCUGGUCACGGGUGAAGGUGAUGCGAUCGACCUACGAUUGGAAGACAAGCGUGAGGAGUUGAUCUACGGCAGCGAGUUGUGCGAAUUGGCGUCGGGCUCGUCGUGUUGCUCGGCCGAGACGCCAUAAGCUUAACGCGUUUGGGCGAGGGGCGUUUAAGGCUCCAGAUCAGCUCCACGUGGGGGAUCGUUCCUCGGGGACCUUGCUCAGGUAAAGGCGUACCCGCGCAGGCUGGCGAUCAGCACGCGCUGGUACUUGAUUUUGCACUAUUCCGAGGUGUUGGAUCUGAAUGGGGGAAAAGAUUGAAAUAGUUUUCUUUUAAUUAUUGUUCUUUUUCAACUUACUUACUUCCAGCUCGUACUUGCCGAUUAGCUGGGUUAAUUCCUGCAGGACUUUUGUCUUCGUGGUGGGGUCUUUUUUGAGAAUCUUUUUCAGCACGAUCUGAAAAGUGUCGUCCAGGUUCGGGUCGAUGCCCUCGCCGCCGUGAGUUUCGAUCUGGACAAAUUCGGCACGACCGACAUCUUGCUGCUGUCCAGCGUCGGAACGGAGUUGUCCUACAUUUCCUCACUCCGGCCACUGCUCGAGGGCUGGAAGAAACGACUGCCGUUCACGAUGUUUCCGGACUAGAGGAACAGUUGACAAGAAGAGUGGGCUGUUUAAAAAAGGGCGAAGAAGAAAUUCUUCGUUGGCUGCAGAUAGCACGCAUACUAAAACAAAAACCAAAUCGGAUGAAUCGUAUUGUCGUAGUGUGCGUGAUUUUAUUUAUGCUUUGAACAUCCGAUGUUCAAUAACUUGAACAUUUAAUGGGUUAGCCGGGAUGAGCAUUCAACGUUCAACGGAAUUUAUUUGCGUGUAGUACUGAGGUUAAAGCGUAGACGUUGUUUGUUUCGACAAUAACGCAAAAUCGAUUUGUCACUGCACGGAUAAUAAACAAAUCUGUUCUGAUCGACUAGACCUUACCCGGCAGGCCACCAUGGCCUCGACGACAGACACGUCUUCGGACGUGCUGUCAAGACGCUAUAAUGAACGAGACCGUAACAAUCAAACAGUUCCGAGUUGGAUGGAUCCGAACUGAUUAUACGGCAUGAUUGAAAUCCUCCAGCUGAAACAUGCUGACGACUCAAAGAAGCUGCCUAAUAACCCAUUCAUAAUAGCGAAUCCAUUGAACAGGCGUUCGGUAAAAUCGAAUCAGCCAACACAGAAGCACGAGGUGAGCAUUACGUGCUCAAAGUACAUCAGCACAGCCAAUUUGUGAAACUACAACAACUUACAAAACUGAACGACGACACACCGAUUAAGAUUAUCCCGCACCCAAAGCACCCAAACAAAAGACCAGCACCGACCGAUGGCGAAACUGAACCGGCGAAAAAAGCAACACCACAGACACAAACCGAAGCAAACAAUCAACUACAGAUCCCGACCGAGACUAAGACAUCAAGCUUAUCCAGCAUCCACACCAUUCCACGAGAAGAGAGACAGAGGAAGCAGAGGCAGAUGGAAAUCGACGAAGAGAGCGAUGCUGGUUUGGAGAAACGGCUUCGAUCUCGAAAAACAAGCAAGUAAAGUACCCUCUCAAUUAACACACCAUCAUGCCUGAUAACGUACCACACUCUUACACGAUCGCUACCAUUAAUCUUAAUGGUAUACACAACCAAACAAAACUACAAGCACUUGCAUCAUUCGUACACUCUCACGAUUUUGAUGUCGUAUGCAUGCAAGAGGUGGUGGCUGAUGAUAUUAGUAUACCAGGGUAUAUUACCCAAGUAACCAUAAGCACUAAAUCGGAACUGUAAAUCAACACUAAAUCAUUAUUUCCAUGUUUUGAGCCCCUAAAAUGCAAAUUAUAAUGUUACUUUAGAGUUCUAACUCUAUAUAAGCUGUGGUUAAAGUUUCAAAACUUUGACAAUUCAUGUUACUCUAAAAUAACUUUAUAUCAACUGUUCCAGUGCUUCAUUAUAUUGUAAACAAAAGCGAGAUUGAAAUAUUCAAAGUGUUGAUCUUGGUGUUGAAUUUUUCGCCUAAACUGUGAUAAUGAUGGCAUACUCCCAGAAUUCCGGGCUUUCCAAUCGACUUAUCCUAGGUGAAAGUACAAGUCUACUUGUGACGGGACGAGAACCCUCUCCGGCAAGAAAAAACCGGCUGCUGCUUAAAAUCUAUAAAAUAGUGAUUUGUGUUCAAGUUAAAAGUGAUUGCGUAUUGAAAGUGUUUAAAAUAAUGAAUAAAUAACGAUCAGAGAAA